GACAGAGGGUGCAAACGUUGUUCGGAAUUACUGGGCGUAAAGCGCGUGUAGGCUGCUCUGCAAGUCGGAUGUGAAAGCCCUGGGCUCAACCUAGGAAGUGCACUCGAAACUGCAGAGCUUGAGUCCUGGAGAGGAAGGCGGAAUUCUCGGUGUAGAGGUGAAAUUCGUAGAUAUCGAGAGGAACACCGGUGGCGAAGGCGGCCUUCUGGACAGUGACUGACGCUGAGACGCGAAAGCGUGGGGAGCAAACAGG
rnacentral:rRNA from 1 species